GGUGAUGCAGCAAAAGGAGAUGGUGUGAAACACUACUUCCUAUUUCAGGUUAUUUCUCGUGUGCAGUUUGGGAUUUCCCUAGAUUUUGACAACUGUGGCAAACCCCCAUUUUUCACUGGUCAACCUCCCGAACUCUGCUGGAUAGUGACCUGUUCCGCAUUGUUGGACACAUGAUUGGCCAUUCAUUCAUGAAUGGUGGUCCCUCAUUGACUGGACUUAGUCCUGCUAUGUUUGGAAUAAUACUUGGACAAAUGAAUGACACAGUCAUAACUGAACUUGAAGAUUGCCCUGACACAGAUGUCAUUGAAAUUGUCCAUCUGGUCAUUGGCUGUCGCAAGAAACAGAUGCAACAGGAUACUGGAGUAUUGAGCAUGGUUAAGGAAUGACCUUCUCUCAUUGAAGUCCUAUUCCCACGAUCAUCUUCCCUGACCAUCGACGCACAGGU